AUCAAUAGAUUUUCCAAUCAAAGAAUCCGGUGGCACUGGUUAUGAUAAAGGAUUCAUAUAAUUAAAUUCAUUGUAUGCUGGAAUCGUUCUGCGCCCGGAGGGUGGGAAGUUGAUUAUAUACGAACCAAAGGUGAAAGACCACCAAUUUAGCGGAGCAAUCAUUAAGGUUUCAAAUGGAAUGCCUGGUAAUGCAGGCACUAUCCAACUAGGUUGGAUGGUCAACCCUCUUUAUUUCGGAGAUGGGCAAGCAAGAUUGUUCGCAGCUUG